GAAGCCUAGCUUGCUAGGUGGAAGAGUGGCGAACGGGUGAGUAACACGUGAGCAACCUGCCCUUCACUCUGGGAUACGCACUGGAAACGGUGUCUAAUACUGGAUAUGACCCAUCACCGCAUGGUGUGUGGGUGGAAAGAUUUAUCGGUGAAGGAUGGGCUCGCGGCCUAUCAGCUUGUUGGUGAGGUAGUGGCUCACCAAGGCGACGACGGGUAGCCGGCCUGAGAGGGUGACCGGCCACACUGGGACUGAGACACGGCCCAGACUCCUACGGGAGGCAGCAGUGGGGAAUAUUGCACAAUGGGCGCAAGCCUGAUGCAGCAACGCCGCGUGAGGGAUGACGGCCUUCGGGUUGUAAACCUCUUUUAGUAGGGAAGAAGCGAAAGUGACGGUACCUGCAGAAAAAGCACCGGCUAACUACGUGCCAGCAGCCGCGGUAAUACGUAGGGUGCAAGCGUUGUCCGGAAUUAUUGGGCGUAAAGAGCUCGUAGGCGGCUUGUCGCGUCUGCUGUGAAAACCCGAGGCUCAACCUCGGGCCUGCAGUGGGUACGGGCAAGCUAGAGUGCGGUAGGGGAGAUUGGAAUUCCUGGUGUAGCGGUGGAAUGCGCAGAUAUCAGGAGGAACACCGAUGGCGAAGGCAGAUCUCUGGGCCGUAACUGACGCUGAGGAGCGAAAGCAUGGGGAGCGAACAGGAUUAGAUACCCUGGUAGUCCAUGCCGUAAACGUUGGGAACUAGAUGUAGGGCCUGUUCCACGGGUUCUGUGUCGUAGCUAACGCAUUAAGUUCCCCGCCUGGGGAGUACGGCCGCAAGGCUAAAACUCAAAGGAAUUGACGGGGGCCCGCACAAGCGGCGGAGCAUGCGGAUUAAUUCGAUGCAACGCGAAGAACCUUACCAAGGCUUGACAUAUACGAGAACGGGCGAGAGAUCGUCAACUCUUUGGACACUCGUAAACAGGUGGUGCAUGGUUGUCGUCAGCUCGUGUCGUGAGAUGUUCGGUUAAGUCCGGCAACGAGCGCAACCCUCGUCCUAUGUUGCCAGCACGUUAUGGUGGGAACUCAUGGGAUACUGCCGUGGUCAACACGGAGGAAGGUGGGGAUGACGUCAAAUCAUCAUGCCCCUUAUGUCUUGGGCUUCACGCAUGCUACAAUGGCCGAUACAAUGGGCUGCGAUACCGCGAGGUGGAGCGAAUCCCAAAAAGUCGGUCUCAGUUCGGAUUGGGGUCUGCAACUCGACCCCAUGAAGUCGGAGUCGCUAGUAAUCGCAGAUCAGCAACGCUGCGGUGAAUACGUUCCCGGGCCUUGUACACACCGCCCGUCAAGUCAUGAAAGUCUGUAACACCCGAAGCCGGUGGCCUAACCCU
rnacentral:rRNA from 1 species